rnacentral:rRNA from 1 species
UGAGUAACGCGUGAGAAUGUGCCUACAAGUGGGGGACAAGCAGGGGAAGCGGUGGAUAAUACCGGAUGUGCCGAAACGUAAAAGAUUUAUCGCCUGAAGAAGGAAUUGGGUUUGAAUAGGUAGUUGGUGGGGUAAAAGGACAACAAGGGGAAGAUCCGUUAGUGGUUUGAGAGGAAGAUUAACCAAAACGGGAAUGAGACACGGGCCAGAAUUCUAAGGGAGGAAGCUUUGGGAAU